rnacentral:rRNA from 1 species
AUACAGAGGGUGCAAGCGUUAUUCGGAAUCACUGGGCGUGAAGGACGCGUAGGCGGGUUGGCAAGUCAGAUGUGAAAUCCUACAGCUUAACUGUAGAACUGCAUUUGAAACUGCUAACCUAGAGUAUGGGAGGGGGAGAUGGAAUUAGUGGUGUAGGGGUAAAAUCCGUAGAUAUCACUAGGAAUACCGAAAGCGAAGGCGAUCUCCUGGAACAUAACUGACGCUAAGGCGUGAAAGCGUGGGGAGCAAACAGGAUUAGAAACCCUAGUAGUCC